rnacentral:rRNA from 1 species
AGAGUUUGAUCAUGGCUCAGAGCGAACGCUAGCGGCGGGCCUAACACAUGCAAGUCGAGCGGAGAGCUUCGGCUCUUAGCGGCGAACGGGUGAGUAACACGUAGGUCACGUAUCCUCAGGUGGGGAACAACCGUGGGAAACCAUGGCUAAUACCGCAUACGGCCCUUCGGGGUCAAAGCCUUCGGGCGCCAGAGGAGCGGCCUGCGUCCCAUUAUUUAGUCCUAGUUGGUGAGGUAACGGCUCACCAAGGGUACGAUGGGUAGCUGGUCUGAGAGGAUGAUCAGCCACACUGGGACUGAGACACGGCCCAGACUCCUACGGGAGGCAGCAGUGGGGAAUAUUGCGCAAUGGGCGAAAGCCUGACGCAGCCACGCCGCGUGAGUGAUGAAGGCCUUCGGGUUGUAAAGCUCUGUCGGGAGGGACGAAGGGAGCAAUCUCUGACGGUACCUCGCAAGAAAGCACCGGCUAACUCUGUGCCAGCAGCCGCGGUAAUACAGAGGGUGCAAGCGUUGCUCGGAUUUACUGGGCGUAAAGCGUACGCAGACGGUUUGGUAGGUCGGAUGUGAAAGCCCCGGGCUCAACCCGGGAACUGCAUCCGAAACCACCUCACUCGAGUAUGGGAGAGGGAAGCGGAAUUCCUGGUGUAGAGGUGAAAUUCGUAGAUAUCAGGAGGAACACCGGCGGCGAAGGCGGCUUCCUGGCCCAUUACUGACGUUCAGGUACGAAAGCGUGGGUAGCAAACAGGAUUAGAUACCCUGGUAGUCCACGCCGUAAACGAUGUGUGCUGGAUGUCGGGGGUAUUCACCCCCUCGGUAUCGAAGCCAACGCGAUAAGCACACCGCCU